CAGCGACACUAUGUGUUGUUGGGUAGGGGAGCGUUCUGUAAGCCUGUGAAGGUGUGCUGUGAGGCAUGCUGGAGGUAUCAGAAGUGCGAAUGCUGACAUAAGUAACGAUAAAGCGGGUGAAAAGCCCGCUCGCCGGAAGACCAAGGGUUCCUGUCCAACGUUAAUCGGGGCAGGGUGAGUCGACCCCUAAGGCGAGGCCGAAAGGCGUAGUCGAUGGGAAACAGGUUAAUAUUCCUGUACUUGGUGUUACUGCGAAGGGGGGACGGAGAAGGCUAUGUUGGCCGGGCGACGGUUGUCCCGGUUUAAGCGUGUAGGCUGGUUUUCCAGGCAAAUCCGGAAAAUCAAGGCUGAGGCGUGAUGACGAGGCACUACGGUGCUGAAGCAACAAAUGCCCUGCUUCCAGGAAAAGCCUCUAAGCAUCAGGUAACAUCAAAUCGUACCCCAAACCGACACAGGUGGUCAGGUAGAGAAUACCAAGGCGCUUGAGAGAACUCGGGUGAAGGAACUAGGCAAAAUGGUGCCGUAACUUCGGGAGAA
rnacentral:rRNA from 1 species